rnacentral:lncRNA from 10 species
UCAGAGUGAUUAAAUGAUUUGCCCACAUCUGUUUCAUGGCAGAGGAAAAGAAACAUGAACAGUGGGAAGGUCUUGAAUUGGAUGUGACUGUCCCUACUCAGUGAGCUGGCUCAAGCUAAGUUGAAGGAAGAGACAAAGGACAGGCCAACAAGCUGGUACAUGGCGGGAAGAGGGCCAGAGCCCACCACUUGUGGAGAACUCGGAGGCCAGCCCCCUCAGCUAUGAGAGGGUCUUCCAGAGUGAUCCCUGAGGAGAUGGGACAGUGAAGUCAUUGGCCAGCCUGUGGGACAGAAGGGAGUUUCUAGUUAAAGGGUCUUCAGAUUUGGGGCAAAAUAUCCCAUCUGAUUUUGGAAAAAUAUCUGAAGAACUGGAAGUAGGAAAAAUGUCUGGUAUCUCU